UGCAACUCUAUGUAGAAGGAUCAGUGACUUAGUUGGAGAGGGUUCAAAAUUUCCAAACUUAAGUAGCAUGACAGUGCUGAAAAGAUUGAUGUUCAGGAGCUGUAAUAUCUCUGGACCAAUUCCUACAUAUAUAUCAAACAUGACAGAACUUCAAAUCCUAGAUCUCAGCUUCAACAGAUUGGAUGGAAUGGUUCCAGAUUUUGGUGGUCUAAAAAAAUUGAAAUACUUGUAAUCUUCACGGCCAAACCUUUAACAUAGUUCAAUUGUAAAAUAAAUUCAAAUAAAUAAUUGGCCAGCUAAAGCACCAAUGAUAUGUAACCAGGUUUGGCUUUUGGCCAACAUCUACGGGUGAAUCUGCAAUGAACUUCACUCUGCAUACACUU